rnacentral:rRNA from 1 species
UACGGAGGAUGCGAGCGUUAUCCGGAUUUAUUGGGUUUAAAGGGUGCGUAGGCGGCUUUGCAAGUCAGAAGUGAAAUCCAUGGGCUUAACCCAUGAACUGCUUUUGAAACUGCAGAGCUUGAGUGGAGUAGAGGUAGGCGGAAUUCCCGGUGUAGCGGUGAAAUGCUUAGAGAUCAUACAGAACACCGAUUGCGAAGGCAGCUUACCAAGCUACUUCUGACGUUGAGGCACGAAAGCGUGGGGAGCAAACAGG